rnacentral:lncRNA from 1 species
GAAACGCAGAGAGCAAGAGAGUCCGAAAGAGGCAAAAAAACCAUGGGAAGAAACGGUGGAAAAAGAGGAGAAGAAAUGAAGAAAUAGGGGGAAAAGGAAGAACUAGCAGAUUUUCGAGCUGGGUUCUCCAUUUCUUUAAUUUUAUUGUGAUUUAGUGAGGUAAGUAUAAAAAUGUGAAAUUAUCUCCUUUAGAGUUUAUGAAAUUUAUCUUUAAAACUUUGAAGUUAGCAAGAAUUUGGUGUUAUUGAUGUGUAUUCAACGUUUUAAAUAAGAAUAUAGCAAGGAAUGUUUAUUUGAAUAUUAAGGUUGAAGAAAGUGGAACUUUGUAAGUGGGUUUGUGAGAUAAAAAGCAUAUUCUUUGAAAUUCUUGGAAUUAUAUUGUUCUAAAAACAUAAAUUGAGGAUUUGAGAUUGAAAUUGUCCAUAUUUUCAGCAAUUUUUGACUUUUUGUAAAACAGGUGCUAGUUUUGAAAUUCUGCCCAGGAUAGUGCUAUUUCUGUCAAAGGUUUCGGUGACUGUUUUUAAUAUCGGUGGUGCUAGUGGUACACAGGUGUGUACCUAAGCGUGUACACCCCCCUCACAUGGAGUGUGGGAUCCACCCGAAUAAAAAAUAUUUAUUCGAGUGGACCCCACACCCCAUGUGAGGGGGAUGUACACCCUUAGGUACAUUCUAUUAUGUACCACUAGCAUUUUUCUUUUAAUAUAUAGAAUCUGGUGUUGCAAUUCAGUAUUCUGGGAUUUUAGCGCGGUUUUUCUCAAAACUCUUAUUUUAAGAUUUUAAUUGUUUGAAUGAGGUUAUAUGAUAAAUAGUGAAGUUUAGAUUGUGUAUAGGGGUUGUGUAUAUAUAAGGUAGUGAUUUUAAGAAAGUAUAGCAAUUAAAUGAUUUAAUUAUGUGUAGUGAUUGAUUAGUAAACAAUCAAAGAGAAGAAAAGUUGGGGAAACGGAUAUGUAAGAAUAAAUAUAGAAAUUGAGAAGUUAAGAGGUGGAUUUGUAUUAAUUUAAUCGUCAGACUUUAAUUCGAGAAAUUAUGCCGUUGUUUCAGGUAGGGACGUGAAAGUUUGGAAAUGCUCGUCAAUUUAAUCAUAUUUCUAUCCAUAGAUCAGUGAGUGGAAAAAACUUAAAUAUUUUCAAGUAUUAAUAAAUUAAUUAUACCAAUACAUUAUGUACAUUUAUACGUUCGAUUACAUGAUUAUUUUGGAAAUAUUCUUUCAUUAUGAUAUUUGUCGAAUUCAAAGGCUAGAUAUGAAAAUAUUUGCGAUUUGGAAUGUGAGAUAUGUGAUAUUGAGAUCGACAAGAAAAAUACUCGUGAUUAUAUAUUUCUUCUAGCUCACUGAGGCGCCUUGGUCGUAUUAUAUACUACAUUGAGGGGUCGACUGGGGAUGAAGGGAUCGUGACCGUAUACAUAUAGUUCGCUGAGGGGCUUUGGCCGUGUUCUAAAAUUGAUUGUCAAAGGUCUUGAGACCGGCUUUCGUUCACGGAGAGGACCAAAGGCUCGUGGCGAAAAUUCUUAACCCGAGGGACGAAUUACAAAUUUUAGUCAGAGGGUACAUUUUUUGUGGAUCACAUGUGAUGUGAUGAGAUGAGAUGAUGGUAUAGAUAUCAGCUGAUGAAAAUAUCGUGAUUAUGAGAUGAUAUUUACAUUGUUAUGAGAAUGUCUCACUUUUGGCUAUAAUUGUACGAGUUUAUCGUGUGAAUAUUAAAUGAUAUGAACUUGAUGUUUAGUAAAAAUGUUUAAAGGAGAAAGUAUAAUUAUUUUUGAACUCUUCCACUCA